UGCUAGCAGSMGMGSKWAUUCCAGCUCCAAUAGCGUAUAUUAAAGUUGUUGCAGUUAAAAAGCUCGUAGUUGAAUUUCGGGGUYAGUAGGUUGGUCAUGCCUCUGGUAUGCACUGGUCUCACUGAUUCCUCCUUCCUUAUGAACCGUAAUGCCAUUAAUUUGGUGUUGCGGGGARUUUGGACUGUUACUUUGAAAAAAUUAGAGUGUUUAAAGCAAGCUAACGCUUGAUUACAUUAGCAUGGAAUAAUGAAAUAGGACGUUCGAUCUUAUUUUGUUGGUUUCUAGGAUUGACGUAAUGAUUAAUAGGGAUAGUUGGGGGCAUUAGUAUUCAAUUGUCAGAGGUGAAAUUCUUGGAUUUAUUGAAGACUAACUACUGCGAAAGCAUUUGCCAAGGAUGUUUUCAUUAAUCAAGAACGAAAGUUAGGGGAUCGAAGACGAUCAGAUACCGUCGUAGUCUUAACCAUAAACUAUGCCGACUAGGGAUCGGAUGAGURYYRAKKYSYUAAUGACUCAUUCGGCGCCUACGGGGAAAACAAAAUGU
rnacentral:rRNA from 1 species